GGGCUGGUCUCCUGUGCCUGCUGUGCUGAUAAUCAGUGGACGGCUGUGACUGGCUCAGUUCAGCAGGAACAGGGGCCUGGUC